GACGUAGGGUGCAAGCGUUGUCCGGAUUUAUUGGGCGUAAAGAGCUCGUAGGCGGCUUGUUGCGUCGACUGUGAAAACCCGCGGCUUAACCGCGGGCUUGCAGUUGAUACGGGCAGGCUAGAGUUCGGUAGGGGAGACUGGAAUUCCUGGUGUAGCGGUGAAAUGCGCAGAUAUCAGGAGGAAUACCGAUGGCGAAGGCAGGUCUCUGGGCUGACACUGACGCUCAUGCACGAAAGCGUGGGGAGCAAACAGG
rnacentral:rRNA from 1 species